AUGAGAUUCACUAAAAGCUUUGUUGAUUUAAAAACUGUAUAUGUGUCUCUGUUAUCAGUGAGAUCAGGGAGCUUUCUCAGUGAUACAUGCUUGCUGACAGUGCAGGAGGUUUUUGUACGGCCACUCAAUGAGUUUGUAUCACUGUGGUGGACUUUUGGUGGAGGAACCAAACUCAUCGUUGACUUGGGUGUGCAGCAGCCCACCCUGAGCGUCCUCCCCCCCUCCAGAGAGGAGCUGCAGCAGGGCAGUGCCACUGUGGUGUGUCUGGCCAGCGGGGGCUUCCCCUCCGCCUGGAAGCUGGGCUGGAAGCUGGGGGGCAGCAGCAGCUCCUCAGGGGGGUCCCACAGCCCGGAGGUCCUGGGGAGCGACGGCCGCUACAGCUGGAGCAGCACCCUGAGCCUCUCUGCAGAGAGCUGGAGGGGGGCGGGCUCAGUGAGCUGUGAGGCCAGUCUGAGUGGACAGAGCCCUGUCACUCAAAGCCUGGACCCUGCCCGCUGCUCGGAGUAGAGCAUCACUUCCUGUCUGGAGAGGAAGCCGCUGCUUUGCUAGAGAUCUUCAUGAAGACACACAUCUCCUCUGCUCACAUGUUGCUGCUGUCUCUGCUCAGUUGUUAGUGUUGCUCUCUAAUCCUCACUUCCUGCAUAUUCUCCUGUUUGUUCAUCAGCUCACAAUUCAACUGGAUUUCAUUUGUUUCACUCCAACAGAAACUCAUCAUUCAUCUCAAAUGUGGCGUGAGCUUUAAACCAUCAUUAAAUAAAAAUGUUGAUUAAAAUGA